rnacentral:ncRNA from 2 species
AAAUGUCUUCAGGGCAGGGUGCAAUUCCCGACCGGCGGUGACUUUUCGUUUACUGUUCCAGCUUGAUGGCCUGCAGAGUAGUUCUGCAGAGCUGAUGCUUAAAAAUAAGCAGCAGGAAUAUGAAGCGAGAAGAAGUCCGCGAGCGCAAGCUGAUGCGGUGCAAUUCCGCAACCGACAGUAAAGUCUGGAUGGGAGAAGACGAAG